rfam:Myotis brandtii contig156451, whole genome shotgun sequence.
GCCAGUGGGGCUCAGUGGGUAGAGCGUCCGCCUGCAGAUGGAAGGGCCCCUGGUUCGAUUCCGGUCAAGGGCA